GUAACAUAUCGGAACAUACCCUAGAGGUGGGGGAUAACGUAGCGAAAGUUACGCUAAUACCGCAUACGAUCUAAGGAUGAAAGUGGGGGAUCUUCGGACCUCAUGCUCAUGGAGUGGCCGAUAUCUGAUUAGCUAGUUGGUGAGGUAAAGGCUCACCAAGGCGACGAUCAGUAGCUGGUUUGAGAGAACGACCAGCCACACUGGAACUGAGACACGGUCCAGACUCCUACGGGAGGCAGCAGGUGGGGAAUUUUGGACAAUGGGGGCAACCCUGAUCCAGCAAUGCCGCGUGAGUGAAGAAGGCCUUCGGGUUGUAAAGCUCUUUUGUCAGGGAAGAAACGGUGAGUUCUAAUACAGCUUGCUAAUGACGGUACCUGAAGAAUAAGCACCGGCUAACUACGUG
rnacentral:rRNA from 1 species